rnacentral:rRNA from 1 species
AUUGAACGCUGGCGGCAGGCCUAACACAUGCAAGUCGAGCGGAUGAAGGGAGCUUGCUCCUGGAUUCAGCGGCGGACGGGUGAGUAAUGCCUAGGAAUCUGCCUGGUAGUGGGGGAUAACGUCCGGAAACGGGCGCUAAUACCGCAUACGUCCUGAGGGAGAAAGUGGGGGAUCUUCGGACCUCACGCUAUCAGAUGAGCCUAGGUCGGAUUAGCUAGUUGGUGGGGUAAAGGCCUACCAAGGCGACGAUCCGUAACUGGUCUGAGAGGAUGAUCAGUCACACUGGGACCUGAGACACGGCCAGGCCCCUACGGGGAGGCACCAGUGGGAAUUUUGGGCCAAGGGCCGAAAGCUUGUCCCAGCCAGCCCGGUGGGGUGAAGAAGGUCUCCGGUUUGUAAAGACUUUUAGGUUGGGAGGAAGGGAAGUAAGUUAAUACCUUGCUGUUUUGCCGUACCAACAGAAUAAGCACCGGCUAACUUCGUG